UGUUUCUUGCGGCUUCUGCGGUUGUCUGCCCUGCCCUGAAGUUUUUCCCUUGUCCGCCUGGACUGGUUUUGACGUCACCCUUGGAUGCUGAAGUUACGAGGAAGUGACCCGUCCUGAGAUCAAACGCACACAGACACCGGGACUGACGAGGGAGAACCAGCAGCUUCUUCUGUCCAGAUGUUUCCUCUGCACCUGAAGGUGGAACGAGUCUGCAAGUCGACCAGAGGUUGUGUUCAUCUUUGACGGUCUGGACGAGUGUUGAACUCUUCUGGAAUUUAGAAGAGUCCACUUCCGAAUGAGCUGAAUGAUGGUUCUCUAGUGGAGCAGAUCCAACAGUCCCUGAGAUCAGGAAGUCUCUCUGCAGGUAAACUCUCUCCUGCUCAAUGGUCAGCUCUGGGCUUCAUCUAACUGUCGUCAGAAAAAGAUCUGGACGUGUUUGACCUGAAGAAAUACUCUGCUUCAGAGGAGGCUCUUCUGAGGCUGCUGCCAGUGGUCAGAGCCUCCACCAAAGUUCUGCUGAGUGACUGUAACCUCUCAGAGAGAGGAUGUGGAGCUCUGUCCUCAGCUCCCAGUCCCCCAGUCUGAGAGAGGUGGGUCCAGCUCUCUCAGAUGGGGGAUGGGAUCCUUUUGCUGGGUCCAGCAAACAGAUUCCUCAAACUGUCUGAAAACAACAGGACGGUGACGGUGGUCCCCACCGUCAGUCAUAUCCUGAUCAUCCACGCAGAUUUGAUAUCUACUGGUCUCAGCUGCUGGGUAGAACUGGUCUGUCUGGUCACCGUUACUGG